rnacentral:rRNA from 1 species
CAGCCGCCGCGGUAAUACGUAGGGCGCAAGCGUUAUCCGGAAUUAUUGGGCGUAAAGAGCUCGUAGGCGGUUUGUCGCGUCUGCCGUGAAAGUCCGGGGCUCAACCCCGGAUCUGCGGUGGGUACGGGCAGACUAGAGUGAUGUAGGGGAGACUGGAAUUCCUGGUGUAGCGGUGAAAUGCGCAGAUAUCAGGAGGAACACCGAUGGCGAAGGCAGGUCUCUGGGCAUUAACUGACGCUGGGGAGCGAAAGCAUGGGGAGCGAACAGGAUUAGAUACCCGAGUAGUCCCUGUCUCUUAUAC